GCCUGCUGGGCAUUAACUGACGCUGAGGCACGAAAGCGUGGGUAGCAAACAGGAUUAGAUACCCUGGUAGUCCACGCUGUAAACGAUGAUUACUAGGUGUGGGUGGACUGACCCCAUCCGUGCCGCAGUUAACACAAUAAGUAAUCCACCUGGGGAGUACGGCCGCAAGGUUGAAACUCAAAGGAAUUGACGGGGGCCCGCACAAGCAGUGGAGUAUGUGGUUUAAUUCGAAGCAACGCGAAGAACCUUACCAGGUCUUGACAUCGAGUGACGACUCUAGAGAUAGAGUUUUCCUUCGGGACACGAAGACAGGUGGUGCAUGGUUGUCGUCAGCUCGUGUCGUGAGAUGUUGGGUUAAGUCCCGCAACGAGCGCAACCCUUGCUAUUAGUUGCUACGCAAGAGCACUCUAAUAGGACUGCCGUUGACAAAACGGAGGAAGGUGGGGACGACGUCAAAUCAUCAUGCCCCUUAUGACCUGGGCUACACACGUACUACAAUGGCCGUAAACAGAGGGAAGCAAUACAGCGAUGUGGAGCAAACCCCUAAAAGCGGUCUCAGUUCAGAUUGCAGGCUGCAACCCGCCUGCAUGAAGUCGGAAUU
rnacentral:rRNA from 1 species